AAGCAAGCCAAAUCCUCUCAACCCAUGACGAGUUCAUCACGGCAUGCACCAUUAAGAUACGGCCGAGGACGGCGCAGCGUGUUGGCGCUUAAAUGGUUCUAAGUCCAAGCUGUACGUCAUCAGCAAUGGCGUCCACAGCUGAAGGGAUCGGUAAGCUGGAGAUGUACGCAGCAACCUCAACCAAGUCCAUGUGUCUCCCGUGAUCGAUCCCACUUCUCCUCCGAGGGUUUCCCUCGACAACCAGUGGUGGGUGGUCUGCCAUUGAUCCAGCGGCCAUGGAGGUAGGUGCUUAGGUAGACAGCCCUGGGGUCUUUCCCAAUUACACCGUCAUCCAUGACAUCUCAUCAACCAAAGCCUUUCCGGCAGCCUAAACUCUGACGACAACCAACACGAGACGCCAUGUUUUCAGGUCAUAUACUCACGGUAGCAGUGAGGUACUGUCAUGUGUUGCUGCACUUACCCAGAAAUGGGGUUAGAGCGGGAGAAGGGGAGGGCGAGCCGUGCUGGAGAAGCAGGGCACGUGUUCGUGCCAUCGGAACGGUGGUGGCGGCAACGCGUGCCCGCCCUCUCCAGCUCGGACUCGCUCCUCCACCAUUACUGGAAAAGCUCGAGAAUGAGUUGCUGAAGGUAUCAGGGAGGGUACGUCGAGAGUUUGCUGCUUCUGUCUCCAUGGCUUACGUGGACUAUAGAGUCACUCAUGGGUGGUGGUCCCAGAAACAGCCAGUGACAGCUUGGGGGCCACGCGCAGGCGGGUAUGAGAACGGGGACGACAAGCCAAGCAGGAUCAUGGCUUGAAGGGUGCAAAUACCACCACAUUUACCUCUGCUAGAUCACCCACAAGUCUUUAAUCCCAGAUGGAUCCUUAAAGACUUGCUUAACAGCAUUUACCUCUGCUAGAUCACCCACAAGGGUGGAAGUUGCAUGAGCAUUAAUGUAAUUAACCUGUAUGAAGAACAUCUUAGUCAGAAGACAUGAUGAAAAACAUAACACCUAACUACAUUGUUCUUGCAACAAAACAUUCUGUGGCCACAACAUCUUCUAGAGUGGCAACUGGAAGGAUGCCAUUAAAACUAGCUGUUUGAUGUCUA